GACGAACGCUGGCGGCGUGCUUAACACAUGCAAGUCGAACGGAAAGGCCCUGCUUUUGUGGGGUGCUCGAGUGGCGAACGGGUGAGUAACACGUGAGUAACCUGCCCUUGACUUUGGGAUAACUUCAGGAAACUGGGGCUAAUACCGGAUAGGAGCUCCUGCUGCAUGGUUGGGGUUGGAAAGUUUCGGCGGUUGGGGAUGGACUCGCGGCUUAUCAGCUUGUUGGUGGGGUAGUGGCUUACCAAGGCUUUGACGGGUAGCCGGCCUGAGAGGGUGACCGGCCACAUUGGGACUGAGAUACGGCCCAGACUCCUACGGGAGGCAGCAGUGGGGAAUAUUGCACAAUGGGCGGAAGCCUGAUGCAGCAACGCCGCGUGCGGGAUGACGGCCUUCGGGUUGUAAACCGCUUUAGCCUGUGACGAAGCGUGAGUGACGGUAAUGGGUAAAGAAGAACCGGCUAACUACGUG
rnacentral:rRNA from 1 species